GGCGGUCAAAUCACCGAAAACACCGGUUCUCGUUCGUAUCACCGAAGUUAAGCAUCAGGUCAGUACUUUAGAUGGGGGACCGCUUGGGAACACCUGGUACUGUAAG